rnacentral:sRNA from 1 species
AUAAUAUCCGCUUGCCGAAGACAGCAGGUGCAUUUUGCGUAAGGACUCCCCUGUCCGCCUGCCGAGGAAAAGUUGUGAAAUUUUGAUUUUACAUGCCUUUUCCGUUUCUUUGCGGAGAAGGCUUUUUCAUUC